GAUGAACGCUGGCGGCGUGCCUAAUACAUGCAAGUCGAGCGAACGGACGAGGAGCUUGCUCCUCUGACGUUAGCGGCGGACGGGUGAGUAACACGUGGAUAACCUACCUAUAAGACUGGGAUAACUUCGGGAAACCGGAGCUAAUACCGGAUAAUAUUUUGAACCGCAUGGUUCAAUAGUGAAAGACGGUCUUGCUGUCACUUAUAGAUGGAUCCGCGCUGCAUUAGCUAGUUGGUAAGGUAACGGCUUACCAAGGCAACGAUGCAUAGCCGACCUGAGGGGGUGAUCGGCCACACUGGAACUGAGACACGGUCCAGACUCCUACGGGAGGCAGCAGUAGGGAAUCUUCCGCAAUGGGCGAAAGCCUGACGGAGCAACGCCGCGUGAGUGAUGAAGGUCUUCGGAUCGUAAAACUCUGUUAUUAGGGAAGAACAAAUGUGUAAGUAACUGUGCACAUCUUGACGGUACCUAAUCAGAAAGCCACGGCUAACUACGUG
rnacentral:rRNA from 1 species